UGGGGAAUUUUGGACAAUGGGCGAAAGCCUGAUCCAGCAAUGCCGCGUGUGUGAAGAAGGCCUUCGGGUUGUAAAGCACUUUUGUCCGGAAAGAAAUCCUUGGCUCUAAUACAGUCGGGGGAUGACGGUACCGGAAGAAUAAGCACCGGCUAACUACGUGCCAGCAGCCGCGGUAAUACGUAGGGUGCAAGCGUUAAUCGGAAUUACUGGGCGUAAAGCGUGCGCAGGCGGUUUGCUAAGACCGAUGUGAAAUCCCCGGGCUCAACCUGGGAACUGCAUUGGUGACUGGCAGGCUAGAGUAUGGCAGAGGGGGGUAGAAUUCCACGUGUAGCAGUGAAAUGCGUAGAGAUGUGGAGGAAUACCGAUGGCGAAGGCAGCCCCCUGGGCCAAUACUGACGCUCAUGCACGAAAAGCGUGGGGAGCAAAACAGGAUUAGAUACCCUGGUAGUCCACGCCCUAAACGAUGUCAACUAGUUGUUGGGGAUUCAUUCCUUAGUAACGUAGCUAACGCGUGAAGUUGACCGCCUGGGGAGUACGGUCGCAAGAUUAAAACUCAAAUGAAUUGACGGGGUCAUAGCUGUUUCCU
rnacentral:rRNA from 1 species